rnacentral:misc_RNA from 1 species
AACGCACAUUGCGCCCCGCGGCAUUCCGCGGGGCAUGCCUGUUCGAGCGUCAUUACAACCCUCAAGCCCUGCUUGGUGUUGGGCCGCGCCCGCCCGUGGCCGGCCCCAAAAUUAGCGGCGGUGCCAUCAGGCCCUAAGCGUAGUAGAAUCUCUCGCUCUUGGGUCCGUUGGUAUCCGGCCGGAAGCCCCCGUUAUCGUGGUUGACCUCGGAUCAGGUAGGGAUACCCGCUGAACUUAA